ensembl:lncRNA
GUGCACAUAUGAAUGCGAUGAUCCAUGUCCUGAUGUACCUGUAUUACGGUCUUGCCUCCUGUGGACCUAAGAUCCAAAAGUACCUGUGGUGGAAGAAGUAUCUGACAAUUAUCCAGAUGGUAGGUUGAUUUCCAGGGUGGCUGAUUUUGAAAUUAAAUAUACUGAUUGUAGGGAUCAUUUGACUGAAAAUCAUUCUUCUUGCUAUGAAAGAACGGUGAAAACACAAUAUGGUGCAAAAGCAUAACUCUUAUUCUCUCUUUGGGGCUCAGAUUCAGUUCCAUGUCACCAUCGGUCACACGGCCUUGUCUCUCUAUCUCUAAAGACAGAGCACAUAUCUGAACCACUGGAACACAGAGGUAAUAAAGCCACAUCUUUACCAUGAAGCUACCUUUGGCUCUGGUGUUUGCACUCACCCUCCCCAUCAUCAGGGCUCAGGUUCCCGACUGGGGCCCGUGUCCAGAGCCUGCUGUUCAACCCCCCGUCAGCCUUAAACAGGUACCAGUGACGAUGCAGACUGUGCAGAAUAUGCUGAACACAUUAGGCGUGAAUGUCAUGAGAUACUUCUUCUCUCGCACAGUUUGAAAAGGAAAAAGCUGACACCACAAACAUUAUCAGAGAUUUCUGUUAAACGAGAAUUUAUUAAUAUAAAUAUUGUUUUCAUGUGAAAAAAUAAUUUAAUUUAUUAAAAGUACUUUUUAUUUAUAUAGUUUAUAAUAUAUAUAUAUAUUUUUUUCAGCAUUUCAGCAUAAUCUUUGUUGUAAGUCAACUCAGUACCCAAAGUAUUGUGUAAGUAAAGCUUUUCAGUAC